rnacentral:rRNA from 1 species
CCGUAUAACAAUACUCCGAGAACUGAAAGGCUUUUUGAAGUCUUCGGAUGGAUAGAAGAACCCCUGAUGCCGUCGAGCCAAGAAAAGUUUCUAAGUUUAGCUAAUGUUGCCCGUACCGUAAACCGACACAGGUGGGUGGGAUGAGUAUUCUAAGGCGCGUGGAAGAACUCUCUUUAAGGAACUCUGCAAAAUAGCACCGUAUCUUCGGUAUAAGGUGUGGUUAGCUUUGUAUUAGGAUUUACUCCGAAAGCAAGGAAACUUACAACAAAGAGUCCCUCCCGACUGUUUACCAAAAACACAGCACUCUGCUAACUCGUAAGAGGAUGUAUAGGGUGUGACGCCUGCCCGGUGCUCGAAGGUUAAUUGAUGGGGUUAGCAUUAGCGAAGCUCUUGAUCGAAGCCCGAGUAAACGGCGGCCGUAACUAUAACGGUCCUAAGGUAGCGAAAUUCCUUGUCGGUUAAAUACCGACCUGCAUGAAUGGCGUAACGAGAUGGGAGCUGUCUCAAAGAGGGAUCCAGUGAAAUUGUAGUGGAGGUGAAAAUUCCUCCUACCCGCGGCAAGACGGAAAGACCCCGUGGACCUUUACUACAGCUUGACACUGCUACUUGGAUAAGAAUGUGCAGGAUAGGUGGGAGGCUUUGAGUAUAUGACGCCAGUUGUAUAUGAGCCAUUGUUGAGAUACCACUCUUUCUUAUUUGGGUAGCUAACCAGCUUGAGUUAUCCUCAAGUGGGACAAUGUCUGGUGGGUAGUUUGACUGGGGCGGUCGCCUCCCAAAUAAUAACGGAGGCUUACAAAGGUUGGCUCAGAACGGUUGGAAAUCGUUCGUAGAGUAUAAAGGUAUAAGCCAGCUUAACUGCAAGACAUACAAGUCAAGCAGAGACGAAAGUCGGUCUUAGUGAUCCGGUGGUUCUGUGUGGAAGGGCCAUCGCUCAAAGGAUAAAAGGUACCCCGGGGAUAACAGGCUGAUCUCCCCCAAGAGCUCACAUCGACGGGGAGGUUUGGCACCUCGAUGUCGGCUCAUCGCAUCCUGGGGCUGGAGCAGGUCCCAAGGGUAUGGCUGUUCGCCAUUUAAAGCGGUACGCGAGCUGGGUUCAGAACGUCGUGAGACAGUUCGGUCCCUAUCUGCCGUGGGCGUAAGAAGAUUGAAGAGAUUUGACCCUAGUACGAGAGGACCGGGUUGAACAAACCACUGGUGUAGCUGUUGUUCUGCCAAGAGCAUCGCAGCGUAGCUAAGUUUGGAAAGGAUAAACGCUGAAAGCAUCUAAGCGUGAAGCCAACUCUAAGAUGAAUCUUCUCUAAGCUCUCUAGAAGACUACUAGUUUGAUAGGCUGGGUGUGUAAUGGAUGAAAGUCCUUUAGCUGACCAGUACUAAUAGAGCGUUUGGCUUAUCUUUAAUAAAGCAU